UACAGAGGGUGCAAGACUUUAAUGCGGAAUUACUGGGGCGUAAAGCGCGCGUAGGCGGUUUGUUAAGUCGGAUGUGAAAUCCCUGGGCUCAACCUAGGCACUGCAUCCGAUACUGGCUGACUAGAGUGUGGGAGAGGAAGGUAGAAUUCCAGGUGUAGCGGUGAAAUGCGUAGAGAUCUGGAGGAAUACCGAUGGCGAAGGCAGCCUUCUGGCCUAACACUGACGCUGAGGUGCGAAAGCAUGGGGAGCAAACAGGAUUAGAUACCCUGGUAGUCCAUGCUGUAAACGAUGUCAACUAGCCGUUGGGGUCUUUAAGACUUUAGUGGCGUAGCUAACGCGAUAAGUUGACCGCCUGGGGAGUACGGUCGCAAGACUAAAACUCAAAUGAAUUGACGGGGGCCCGCACAAGCGGUGGAGCAUGUGGUUUAAUUCGAUGCAACGCGAAGAACCUUACCUGGCCUUGACAUGUCUGGAAUCUUGUAGAGAUACGAGAGUGCCUUAGGGAAUCAGAACACAGGUGCUGCAUGGCUGUCGUCAGCUCGUGUCGAGAGAUGUUGGGUUAAGUCCCGCAACGAGCGCAACCCUUAUCCUUAUUUGCCAGCACGUAAUGGUGGGAACUCUAAGGAGACUGCCGGUGACAAACCGGAGGAAGGCGGGGACGACGUCAAGUCAUCAUGGCCCUUACGGCCAGGGCUACACACGUGCUACAAUGGUCGGUACAAAGGGUUGCUAACCUGCGAAGGGGUGCUAAUCUCAAAAAGCCGAUCGUAGUCCAGAUUGGAGUCUGCAACUCGACUCCAUGAAGUCGGAAUCGCUAGUAAUCGCAGAUCAGAAUGCUGCGGUGAAUACGUUCCCGGGCCU
rnacentral:rRNA from 1 species